rnacentral:rRNA from 1 species
UACGGGAGGCAGCAGUGGGGAAUAUUGCACAAUGGGCGCAAGCCUGAUGCAGCCAUGCCGCGUGUAUGAAAAAGGCCUUCGGGUUGUAAAGUACUUUUCAGUCGUGAGGAAGGUGUUAAGGUUAAUAACCUUAGCAAUUGACGUUAGCGACAGAAGAAGCACCGGCUAACUCCGUGCCAGCAGCCGCGGUAAUACGGAGGGUGCGAGCGUUAAUCGGAAUUACUGGGCGUAAAGGGCACGCAGGCGGUUAAUUAAGUUGGAUGUGAAUCCCCGGGCUUAACCUGGGAAUGGCAUUCAAGACUGGUUAGCUAGAGUCUUGUAGAGGGGGUAGAAUUCCAUGUGUAGCGGUGAAAUGCGUAGAGAUGUGGAGGAAUACCGGUGGCGAAGGCGGCCCCUGGACAAAGACUGACGCUCAUGUGCGAAAGCGUGGGGAGCAAACAGGGAUUAGAUACC